CAUGCAAGUCGCAGGGUAACGUGAGGGAAGCUUGCUUCCCUUGACGACGACUGGCGCACGGGUGAGUAACGCGUAUCCAACCUUCCCAUGACCACGGGAUAACCCGUUGAAAGACGGACUAAUACCGUAUGACGUCGUUUGCUGACAUCAAAUAACGAUUAAAGGUUUAGCGGUGAUGGAUGGGGAUGCGUCUGAUUAGCUUGUUGGCGGGGUAACGGCCCACCAAGGCGACGAUCAGUAGGGGUUCUGAGAGGAAGGUCCCCCACAUUGGAACUGAGACACGGUCCAAACUCCUACGGGAGGCAGCAGUGAGGAAUAUUGGUCAAUGGGCGAGAGCCUGAACCAGCCAAGUAGCGUGCAGGAUGACGGCCCUAUGGGUUGUAAACUGCUUUU
rnacentral:rRNA from 1 species